GCCAUGGUCAAGGCUGCAUGCAAUGCAAUACAUGCCCUAGUUUGAUAAGUACAGUUAAUUGGUGGAUGUUUUCAAAGGAUUUGCUAUGGAUGCAUCUUUAAGAAAUAGAGGUGACAGAAGAGGGAAAAAAAUAAAGUUUUAAGAACAUGCUAGGAUAUAAAGGUAUGGCUUGAAAAGAGGAUAAUACUUAGAAACUUGUGAAA
rnacentral:lncRNA from 12 species